ACCCUGAACUGGGUUAUAAAAGUGGGUUGUUUCAACGCGCUAUAUUAUUCCAGUAGUCGUACACGCAAACUAAGAUUACCAUUACGAUCAAUAUUACUGCUUUAUCGUAUAAUCAUGCUGCGAAAUAAAGUGAUGUUGGCAUUCGUGUUGGUGGCGUGCUUGGUACUACUCACGUCGAGGGUGGAUGCUGGUCGCCGUAGGUCUCGAUCAUCACGAGCCGGUGGACGAAGUGGGGGUGGUGGUUAUAGUCGAAAUCGCGGCGGUGGUGGUGGUCGCCGUGGUGGUUGGGGUUUUUGGGACAAUGAGCUUGCAAGGGCGAAGCGUGACCUCAACAAUGAAAACGCAAUUAUUGACGAGUUUGAGCAAUAAAACUGAUAUGCUGUAACUUUUGACAUUCUUUUUCUAUAAUUUCUUGUAUAUUUUAAUCAUCCACUGACAAUUUAAAAUUUAGUAAACGAGUUUUCUCCCAAUUUAUUUUUUGGCAAAUCAUAUUAGAGCUUAUAUAGAAGUAGGCCUAUAUAAUUUUGUCCACUGUAAACAAUGCUUUCAAAUCAUAUAUUUAUUCUUUCGGUGGGCUGAAUGCCUAUCAGGUUUUAACAUGGCUAUUAUUGACUAGUAUUUUAUGUACAUAGCUCUAACGAUCUCCAUAUGAAUAUAAAUAACAGGAAAAUAAAAAAUAAAUGUAGAGUAUAUACACAAA